rnacentral:rRNA from 1 species
GAUGAACGCUGGCGGCGUGCCUAAUACAUGCAAGUCGAGCGAACGGACGAGAAGCUUGCUUCUCUGAUGUUAGCGGCGGACGGGUGAGUAACACGUGGAUAACCUACCUAUAAGACUGGGAUAACUUCGGGAAACCGGAGCUAAUACCGGAUGAUAUUUUGAACCGCAUGGCUCAAAAGUGAAAGACGGUCUUGCUGUCACUUAUAGAUGGAUCCGCGCUGCAUUAGCUAGUUGGUAAGGUAACGGCUUACCAAGGCAACGAUGCAUAGCCGACCUGAGAGGGUGAUCGGCCACACUGGAACUGGGACACGGUCCAGACUCCUACGGGAGGCAGCAGUAGGGAAUCUUCCGCAAUGGGCGAAAGCCUGACGGAGCAACGCCGCGUGAGUGAUGAAGGUCUUCGGAUCGUAAAACUCUGUUAUUAGGGAAGAACAUAUGUGUAAGUAACUGUGCACAUCUUGACGGUACCUAAUCAGAAAGCCACGGCUAACUACGUG